UUUCGACCAUGCCACGUUUAAACACCAGUUCCGUACGAUCACCGAAGUUAAGCAACGUCGAGCCUCGUCAGUACCGAGAUGGGUGACCGCUUGCGAAUACCAGGAGU